GAUGAAGAACGUAGCGAAAUGCGAUAAGUAAUGUGAAUUGCAGAAUUCAGUGAAUCAUCGAAUCUUUGAACGCACCUUGCGCCCUUUGGCCAUUCCGAAGGGCAUGCCUGUUUGAGUAUCAUGAACACCUCAACUCUUCAUGGUUUUCCGUGAUGAGCUUGGACUUUGGGGGUCUUGCUGGCCUAUGGUCAGCUCCUCUAAAAUAAAUCAGCUUGCCAGUGUUUGGUGGGUAUCACAGGUGUGAUAACUAUCUACGCUUGUGGUUUUCCACCAGGUAACCUUCAGCAGUGGAGGUUCGCUGGAGCUCACAGAUGUGUCUCUCCUCAGUGAGGACAGCUAUUUGAAUGUUUGAUCUCAAAUCAGGUAGGACUACCCGCUGAACUUAAGCAUAUCAAUAAGCGGAGGA
rnacentral:misc_RNA from 1 species